GGCUACAUAGCUCAGUUGGUUAGAGCACAGCAUCCAUAAUGCUGGGGUCCCUGGUUCAAGUCCAGGUGUAGCCACCA
rnacentral:tRNA from 1 species